AGAGUUUGAUCCUGGCUCAGGAUGAACGCUAGCGACAGGCUUAACACAUGCAAGUCGAGGGGUAACAGGGAGCUUGCUCCGCUGACGACCGGCGCACGGGUGAGUAACGCGUAUGCAACCUGCCCAUAGGAUCGGGAUAGCCCCCCGAAAGGGGGAUUAACACCGGAUGAGACCCGGGGGCCGCAUGACCCCUUGGUCAAAUGCGAAGCUUAUGGAUGGGCAUGCGUCUGAUUAGCUAGUUGGUGAGGUAACGGCUCACCAAGGCGACGAUCAGUAGCCGGACUGAGAGGUUGAACGGCCACAUUGGGACUGAGACACGGCCCAGACUCCUACGGGAGGCAGCAGUGGGGGAUAUUGCACAAUGGGGGAAACCCUGAUGCAGCAACGCCGCGUGAAGGAAGAAGGUAUUAUGUAUUGUAAACUUCUUUAGACGCAGAGAAAUAAGGGGGUCGUGACCUCUGAUGCUAGUAUGCGUAGAAUAAGGAUCGGCUAACUCCGUGCCAGCAGCCGCGGUAAUACGGAGGAUCCGAGCGUUAUCCGGAUUUAUUGGGUUUAAAGGGUGCGCAGGCGGCUUUUUAAGUCAGUGGUUAAAUCGUGGAGCUUAACUCCAUCCCGCCAUUGAUACUGGAGAGCUUGAUUGCGGUUGAGGUUGGCGGAAUUCGCCGUGUAGCGGUGAAAUGCAUAGAUAUGGCGAAGAACUCCGAUUGCGUAGGCAGCUGACCAAGCCGUAAAUGACGCUCAUGCACGAAAGUGCGGGGAUCGAACAGGAUUAGAUACCCUGGUAGUCCGCACAGUAAACGAUGAAUACUUGUUUUUGGCGAUAUAAUGUCAGAGGCAAAGCGAAAGCGAUAAGUAUUCCACCUGGGGAGUACGCCGGCAACGGUGAAACUCAAAGGAAUUGACGG
rnacentral:rRNA from 1 species